rnacentral:rRNA from 1 species
UACAGAGGGGGCAAGCGUUGUUCGGAAUUACUGGGCGUAAAGGGCGCGUAGGCGGCCUGCUAAGUCGAACGUGAAAUCCCUGGGCUCAACCCAGGAACUGCGUCCGAUACUGGAUGGCUUGAAUCCGGGAGAGGGAUGCGGAAUUCCAGGUGUAGCGGUGAAAUGCGUAGAUAUCUGGAGGAACACCGGUGGCGAAGGCGGCAACCUGGACCGGCAUUGACGCUGAGGCGCGAAAGCCAGGGGAGCAAACGGG